AGAAAGAUAAGCUAACUAAGCUAAUGGGUUCAUACCCCACUUAUAGGGGUAAGAACUCACACCCCCCUUCUUCCUA
rnacentral:tRNA from 1 species